AUCCAGUUGACUAGUCUCAAAUAAGACGAAAUGUGCAUCCUGGAU
rnacentral:hammerhead_ribozyme from 1 species